rnacentral:rRNA from 1 species
AUAGCGUAUAUUAAAGUUGUUGCAGUUAAAAAGCUCGUAGUUGAAUUUCAGGCCUGGCCGGGCGGUCAGCUUAACGGCGUGCACUGUCUGGCUGGGCCUUACCUCUUGGUGAGCUGGCGUGUCCUUUAUUGGAUGCGUCGGGGAACCAGGACUUUUACCUUGAGAAAAUUAGAGUGUUCAAAGCAGGCAUAUGCUCGAAUACAUUAGCAUGGAAUAAUAAAAUAGGACGUGUGGUUCUAUUUUGUUGGUUUCUAGAGUCGCCGUAAUGAUUAAUAGGGAUAGUUGGGGGCAUUGGUAUUGAGUCGCUAGAGGUGAAAUUCUUGGAUUGACUCAAGACCAACUAUUG